UCAAGUGACUAAGUGCAUGUGGCGGAUGCCUUGGCGAUCACAGGCGAAGAAAGACGCGGCAGCCUGCGAAAAGCUGCGGGGAGCUGGCAAACGAGCUUUGAUCCGCAGAUAUCUGAAUGGGGGAACCCACACCGCAAGGUGUAUCCGUGACUGAAUACAUAGGUUACGGAGGCGAACGAGGAGAACUGAAACAUCUAAGUAUCCUCAGGAAAAGAAAUCAACCGAGAUUCCGGCAGUAGCGGCGAGCGAACCCGGAGGAGCCUAGCUUUUGAUAGUACGAACUUUAGCCGAAAGGUCCUGGAAAGGCCUGCUAUAGUGGGUGAUAGCCCCGUAGGCGAAAGAGUUCGUAUGGUACUAAGGAAGCGAGAAGUAGAGCGGGACACGUGGAAUCCUGUUCGAAGAUGGGGGGACCAUCCUCCAAGGCUAAAUACUCGUGAUCGACCGAUAGUGAACCAGUACCGUGAGGGAAAGGCGAAAAGAACCCCGGGAGGGGAGUGAAAUAGAACCUGAAACCGCAUGCAUACAAACAGUAGGAGCCUCGUCAGAGGUGACUGCGUACCUUUUGCAUAAUGGGUCAGCGACUUACAUUCUGUGGCGAGCUUAACCGAAUAGGGGAGGCGCAGCGAAAGCGAGUUCGAAAUGAGCGUCCAGUCGCAGGGUGUAGACCCGAAACCAGAUGAGCUAUCCAUGGCCAGGUUGAAGGUGUGGUAACACACACUGGAGGACCGAACCGACUAGUGUUGCAAAAUUAGCGGAUGAGCUGUGGAUAGGGGUGAAAGGCCAAACAAAUCUGGAGAUAGCUGGUUCUCCCCGAAAACUAUUGAGGUAGUGCCUCGUGUGUCGCUCCAGGGGGUAGAGCACUGUUUUGGCUAGGGGGACAUGGAGUCUUACCAAACCAAGGCAAACUCCGAAUACCUGGAAGCGUGAGCACGGGAGACAGAGCACCGGGUGCUAACGUCCGGACUCAAAAGGGAAACAACCCAGACCGCCGGCUAAGGUCCCCAAUAACAGCUAAGUGGAAAACGAAGUGGAAAGGCCGUGACAACCAGGAAGUUGGCUUAGAAGCAGCCAUCCUUCAAAGAAAGCGUAAUAGCUCACUGGUCGAGUCCUUCUGCGCGGAAGAUGUAACGGGGCUAAGCUGUUAACCGAAGCCGCGGAUGCACUGGUUAUCCAGUGCGUGGUAGGGGAGCGUUCUGUAAGUCUGCGAAGGCGGUUCGAGAGGACUGCUGGAGAUAUCAGAAGUGCGAAUGCUGACAUGAGUAACGUUAAAGCAGGUGAAAAGCCUGCUCGCCGUAAGCCCAAGGAUUCCUGCUCUACGUUCAUCGGAGCAGGGUGAGUCGGCUCCUAAGGUCAGGCCGAAAGGCGUAGCCGAUGGGAAUCAGGUUAAUAUUCCUGAACCUGCGUCAGAUGCGAUGGGGGGACGGAGCAUGGAAGAUCAUCCGGGUGUUGGAAGUCCCGGUUGUUGAGCGUAGGAGGUCUGCAGGCAAAUCCGCAGACGCAUCUCCAAGGCGAAGUCACGUGCCGCCACGGCGGCGAAGUGAUCGGAAGUGCUUCCAAGAAAAGCCUCUAAGCACCAGUCUGACGCGGACCGUACCGCAAACCGACACUGGUGGGCGAGCUGAAUAUGCUCAGGCGCUUGAGAGAACUCGGGAGAAGGAACUCGGCAAAUUGACACCGUAACUUCGGAAGAAGGUGUGCCGUAGUACCGUGAGAGGAGAGACACCUUGAGCGGGAAUCGGUCUCAGAGAAUAGGUGGCUGCGACUGUUUAUUAAAAACACAGCACUCUGCAAAGUCGAAAGACGACGUAUAGGGUGUGAUGCCUGCCCGGUGCUGGAAGAUUAAUUGAUGGGGUGAGAGCCCUUGAUCGAAGUCCCAGUAAACGGCGGCCGUAACUAUAACGGUCCUAAGGUAGCGAAAUUCCUUGUC
rnacentral:rRNA from 1 species